rnacentral:lncRNA from 1 species
UUCGGCCCAAACGCUAGCGAGUUGUCUUAUUUUUCCAGUGUUUUCACUUGAAUGCGGGAGAAAGUUCUUUGGAAGCUAUGAAUGGUUGCAAGGACAUGAGGGAUUCCUCUUUAGUUAGAUUCUCUCUCAGACAAAGGGCUCUAAAGGCCAGGCUUCCUGCUGGGCUCCCAGCAGAGGCUCCAGUGCCCCAGACAACCUGAGCCUGGCCCUGGCUGUCAGCAGUGAGAGAGGGCCCACCAGGAAAUCAUGGUUAUCUACGCUCUGCGCUUUGUUCCUGUUCUCAGACAACAAGCGACAGGGCUGGGGAGCCGGGCUAGGGGGUGGAGAAAGAGGAAGAAAAAACAGGAAGUGAAAGGGGGGGAGGAAAUGAUAUGGAAAACACAGCAACUCUGAAAAGUCCUUGGCCUGACGAGAAAGUGAAUCCCGAGCCGGCGUUUGUAGAGGCUGGCCCUGCAUUUUGUGAAACCGGGUCUCGAAGGAAGAAGGCAGAGACCGAAAUUGCUGCCAUCGAGGGAAAAAAAAAAAAAAAAGGUUCACAAUGCAAUGCACACUGGCCUCUCGGAACAUUGUCUACUCAAGGUCUUAGAAGGAAAGAGCUGUGGAGGGCUUGCAAGGACCCCCAGAGGAUCUUAUAUGCAUGCGAGGCACCUCCUACUGUGCGGGACAUCUGGGUGGAGGGGCGCCUGCCUGCCUUUCAUCUGGAACCCUCUCACCUGAAGCCAGCUCUGAGCCUGCUUCUGGAGCCACGUGCAGAGGCUCAAUGCCUUUGGUAGAAAGGCGGGCACUGCUUAACCCAGGCCAUCACUCGAGGCCCGAGACAAAGAUGAACAACAUCCCUGUGGAUGUCCCUGGCGUCUCAACUGCGCGUUGCUUUGGAAAGCUCUUAACCAAGUCACCAUUAUGGCAACGGGAGGCCCACGGGCUGGAACUGACGAGAAGUCCUGCCCAAACUGGAAAUCUUGCAGACGCACCCUACCCCCCGCCGAAGCUCAGGGACAGCAGUAAAUGAAGGCCCUGCACCUGAGGAGUUUUCCAGUCUCUGCACCAUGUCACGAGAUUUCUUCAGACAGGAGCAUGGCCAUGUCUGCUGCAGGGCCCUUGCUUCCUCACCGCCCGUCUCGGUCCCUCAGUCCAUGGGGUCCCGCAUCCCAACCACAAUCCAAGACCUCAUUUCUGCUUUGGCUCUCCCUUCAGUGCUGAGGCUGGACAGAGCUACUCAUUAAAAUGGAUCAUGAGGGGCGCCUGGGUGGCUCAGUUGUUAAGCAUCUGCCUUCGGCUCAGGUCAUGAUCCUGGGGUCCUGGGAUCCAGCCCCACAUCGGGCUCCCUGCUCGGCGGGAAGCCUGCUUCUCCC